rfam:Blastomyces gilchristii SLH14081 genomic scaffold supercont1.10, whole genome shotgun sequence.
GCCGGGCUAGCUCAAUCGGUAGAGCGUGCGGCUCUUAUGUCAGUCACAACAGCGUGUGACCGCAAGGCUGCGGGUUCGAUCCCCGCGUUCGGCU